ensembl:lncRNA
CAAUGGACUCCAACUAGAUUCUUAAAGAGUCAGUGUUAGGUCAAUGGACUCCUACUAGAGCCUUAAGAGUCAGAGUUAGGUCAAUGGACUCCUACUAGAGCCUUAACAGUCAGAUUUAGGUCAAUGGACUCCUACUAGAGCUUUAAGAGUCAGAGUUAGGUCAAUAGACUCCUACUAGAGCCUUAAGAGUCAGUGUUAGGUCAAUGAACUCCAACUAGAGCCUUAAGAGUCAGAGUUAGGUCAAUGGAAUCCAACUAGAGCCUUAAGAGUCAGUGUUAGGUCAAUGGACUCCAACUUAAGCCCUAGCGGUCAGUGUUAGGUCAAUGGACUCCUACUAGAGCCUUAAGAGUCCGUGUUAGGUCAAUGGACUCCUACUAGAGCCUUAAGAGUCAGUGUUAGGUCAAUGGACUCCUACUAGAGUCUUAAGAGUCAGAGUUAGGUCAAUGGACUCCUACUAGAGCCUUAAGAGUCAGUGUUAGGUCAAUGGACUCCUACUAGAGCCUUAAGAGUCAGUGUUAGGUCAAUGGACUCCAACUUUAGCCCUAGCGGUCAGUGUUAGGUCAAUGGACUCCUACUAGAGCCUUAAGAGUCAGUGUUAGGUCAAUGGACUCCUACUAGAGUCUUAAGAGUCAGAGUUAGGUCAAUGGACUCCUACUAGAGCCUUAAGAGUCAGUGUUAGGUCAAUGGACUCCUACUAGAGCCUUAAGAGUCAGUGUUAGGUCAAUGGACUCCUACUAGAGCCUUAAGAGUCAGAGUUAGGUCAAUGGACUCCUACUAGAGCCUUAAGAGUCAGUGUUAG